rnacentral:rRNA from 1 species
CUCAGUAACGGGCGAUUUAUUUAAUCUCCUGGGACGGACAACAUCGGGAAACUGAUGGGAAAACGUCUAAGUUGCAGUUUUGUGAGUGCGACGUAAACGAUAAUCGUGCAGGAGAGUAAGAUGCCAUCCUAUCAGUUAGUAAGUAGGGUAAGGGCCUACUUAGACGAAGACGGGUACGGGGAAUGAGGGUUUGAUUCCGGAGAGGGAGCCUGAGAGAUGGCUACCAGGACCAAGGUCAGCAGCAGGCGCGAAAAUUAUCGAAGCCCGCCUAGGGGCGAUAGUGAGGAGACGUGUAUUCGAAGUACGUGUAAAGAACGUACUAAUAACUGGAGGUCAAGUCUGGUGCCAGCA